rnacentral:rRNA from 1 species
GACGAACGCUGGCGGCGUGCUUAACACAUGCAAGUCGAACGGAAAGGCCCUGCUUUUGUGGGGUGCUCGAGUGGCGAACGGGUGAGUAACACGUGAGUAACCUGCCCUUGACUUUGGGAUAACUUCAGGAAACUGGGGCUAAUACCGGCUAGGAGCUCCUGCUGCAUGGUGGGGGUUGGAAAGUUUCGGCGGUUGGGGAUGGACUCGCGGCUUAUGAGCUUGUUGGUGGGGUAGUGGCUUACCAAGGCUUUGACGGGUAGCCGGCCUGAGAGGGUGACCGGCCACAUUGGGACUGAGAUACGGCCCAGACUCCUACGGGGGGCAGCAGUGGGGAAUAUUGCACAAUGGGCGGAAGCCUGAUGCAGCAACGCCGCGUGCGGGAUGACGGCCUUCGGGUUGUAAACCGCUUUCGCCUGUGACGAAGCGUGAGUGACGGUAAUGGGUAAAGAAGCACCGGCUAACUACGUG